rnacentral:rRNA from 1 species
CUGGCGGCGUGCCUAAUACAUGCAAGUCGAGCGGACCGACGGGAGCUUGCUCCCUUAGGUCAGCGGCGGACGGGUGAGUAACACGUGGGUAACCUGCCUGUAAGACUGGGAUAACUCCGGGAAACCGGGGCUAAUACCGGAUGCUUGAUUGAACCGCAUGGUUCAAUCAUAAAAGGUGGCUUUUAGCUACCACUUACAGAUGGACCCGCGGCGCAUUAGCUAGUUGGUGAGGUAACGGCUCACCAAGGCGACGAUGCGUAGCCGACCUGAGAGGGUGAUCGGCCACACUGGGACUGAGACACGGCCCAGACUCCUACGGGAGGCAGCAGUAGGGAAUCUUCCGCAAUGGACGAAAGUCUGACGGAGCAACGCCCGCGUGAGUGAUGAAGGUUUUCGGAUCGUAAAACUCUGUUGUUAGGGAAGAACAAGUACCGUUCGAAUAGGGCGGUACCUUGACGGUACCUAACCAGAAAGCCACGGCUAACUACGUGCCAGCCGCCGC